UAGGGAAUCUUCGGCAAUGGGGGCAACCCUGACCGAGCAACGCCGCGUGAGUGAAGAAGGUUUUCGGAUCGUAAAGCUCUGUUGUAAGAGAAGAACGUGUGUGAGAGUGGAAAGUUCACACAGUGACGGUAACUUACCAGAAAGGGACGGCUAACUACGUGCCAGCAGCCGCGGUAAUACGUAGGUCCCGAGCGUUGUCCGGAUUUAUUGGGCGUAAAGCGAGCGCAGGCGGUUUAAUAAGUCUGAAGUUAAAGGCAGUGGCUUAACCAUUGUUCGCUUUGGACACUGUUACACUUGAGUGCAGAAGGGGAGGGUGGAAUUCCAUGGGGAGCGGUGAAAUGCGUAGAAAUAUGGAGGAGCACCGGUGGCGAAAGCGGCUCUCUGGUCUGUAAAUGACGCUGAGGCUCGAAGGAGUGGGGGGCAAACAGG
rnacentral:rRNA from 1 species